rnacentral:rRNA from 1 species
GAUGAACGCUGGCGGCGUGCCUAAUACAUGCAAGUCGAGCGAACAGGCGAGGAGCUUGCUCCUCUGACGUUAGCGGCGGACGGGUGAGUAACGCGUGGAUAACCUACCUAUAAGACUGGGAUAACUUCGGGAAACCGGAGCUAAUACCGGAUAAUAUAUUGAACCGCAUGGUUCAAUAGUGAAAGACGGUUUUGCUGUCACUUAUAGAUGGAUCCGCGCCGCAUUAGCUAGUUGGUAAGGUAACGGCUUACCAAGGCAACGAUGCGUAGCCGACCUGAGAGGGUGAUCGGCCACACUGGAACUGAGACACGGUCCAGACUCCUACGGGAGGCAGCAGUAGGGAAUCUUCCGCAAUGGGCGAAAGCCUGACGGAGCAACGCCGCGUGAGUGAUGAAGAUCUUCGGAUCGUAAAACUCUGUUAUUAGGGAAGAACAAAAGUGUAAGUAACUAUGCACGUCCUGACGGUACCUAAUCAGAAAGCCACGGCUAACUACGUG